GAUGAAGAACGGAGCGAAAUGCGAUAAGUAAUGCGAAUUGCAGAAUUCCAGUGAGUCAUCGAAUCUUUGAACGCACAUUGCGCCCUUUGGUAUUCCGAAGGGCAUGCCUGUUCGAGCGUCAUUAUCACCCCUCAAGCCCUCGGCUUGGUGUUGGACGGUUUGGUGGAGGCCCCCUCGGGGGCUCCUGCCCCUCCCAAAGACAAUGACGGCGGCCUCGUUGGACCCCCGGUACACUGAGUUCUUCACGGGACACGUAUCGGACACAUGGGUUUACGGGACACGGUCUGCCUCCCCUCAGGGAGAAUCUUUCUAAGGUUGACCUCGGAUCAGGUAGGGAUACCCGCUGAACUUAAGCAUAUCAAUAAGCGGAGGA
rnacentral:misc_RNA from 1 species